UGGGGGAUAUUGCACAAUGGGCGAAAGCCUGAUGCAGCGACGCCGCGUGGGGGAUGAAGGCUUUCGGGUUGUAAACCUCUUUCGCUAUCGAACAAGGCCCGCUUAGGGUGGGUUGAGGGUAGGUGGAGAAGAAGCGCCGGCUAACUACGUGCCAGCAGCCGCGGUAAUACGUAGGGCGCGAGCGUUGUCCGGAAUUAUUGGGCGUAAAGGGCUUGUAGGCGGCUUGUUGCGCCUGCUGUGAAAACGCGGGGCUUAACUUCGCGCGUGCAGUGGGUACGGGCAGGCUUGAGUGUGGUAGGGGUGACUGGAAUUCCAGGUGUAGCGGUGGAAUGCGCAGAUAUCUGGAGGAACACCGAUGGCAAAGGCAGGUCACUGGGCCAUUACUGACGCUGAGGAGCGAAAGCAUGGGUAGCGAACAGG
rnacentral:rRNA from 1 species